UACGAAGGGGGCGAGCGUUGUUCGGAUUUACUGGGCGUAAAGGGCGCGCAGGCGGCUCAUUUUGUCAGGCGUGAAAGCCCCGGGCUUAACCUGGGAACUGCGUUUGAUACUGAUGGGCUAGAGUUCGGGAGAGGAGAGUGGAAUUCCCAGUGUAGAGGUGAAAUUCGUAGAUAUUGGGAAGAACACCGGUGGCGAAGGCGGCUCUCUGGACCGAUACUGACGCUGAGGCGCGAAAGCGUGGGGAGCAAACAGG
rnacentral:rRNA from 1 species